AUAUGCUUUGGAAGUGUAAAAACAUUUGUUUCUCAUUUUAUUUUUUUUGUGUGUUCUGUAGAAUGAAGAUAAAGAUCGGAAGUUCACGGUGGAUGAAGCACUUGUGGCCAUGGGGUUUGGGAGAUUUCAAUACCUUGUACUUGGUUAUGCUGGAAUGGGUUGGAUUUCAGAAGCAAUGGAGAUGAUGCUUCUAUCUUUUGUAGGACCUGCUGUUCGGGAUGAGUGGAAGCUUUCUUCUCAUGCAGAGAGCUUGAUAACCAGUAUUGUUUUUGCUGGUAUGCUUGUCGGAGCAUACUCAUGGGGAAUUGUUUCAGAUAAGCAUGGAAGGAGGCAAGGUCCUAUUACAUUUUAUAGAUAGUAUAUGAAUGACUAUAUGUAUGUUUUUACAUUUGAUGCACAUCACUUCUCCUACUUUUAUCCCUUCCCGGUCAUUGAUCCUUUUUUAUUAAUUCUAGAAUAUUGAAAACAAAUGAAGCAAGCUAAGACACAAACAUUGUGAUUGUAAAACACAAACAAACACUUCUUUCUGCUUCUAAUACCUAUCUUGAUGUUAUUCUUUCCAGGAAUGGAUUUCUUAUUACUGCACUAGUUACUUCUUUAGCUGGUUUCCUAAGUAGUUUUGCCCCAAACUACAUUGCACUGAUAGUCCUUCGUUGUUUGGUUGGUCUUGGGUUGGGAGGGAGUCCUGUGCUUUCUUCAUGGUUUUUAGAGUUUAUUCCUGCUCCUGACAGAGGUACUUGGAUGGUUGUGUUUUCGGCUUUCUGGACAGUUGGAACGAUUUUGGAGGCUUCACUUGCAUGGGUAUGCUUGUUGUUUUUAUUUCAUAUAUACCCAUCUCGUUAUAAGUUUACUGAUAUUUGAAUAAGUAAACAUACUAGUGUUCUUGGAUGUUUUGUUGUCCUUGAGCCAGUGGAAGGGCGACGGAGGAGCCAAAUUCUUGAAUAGUAUGUGGUAUACCACUAACACACAUCACAAUGUGGUAGGAUUAUAAUAUAUACAGUUAUACACACUAACACACAUUGAGUCAUUAACACAUUGUGAUGGCAUUCCUAUUACAUUGUUUCCUAUAAUAGUAAAUUAAACAGAUCAUAAUGCGAAAAUGACUUCCUGCCGUUGUAAUUUUCACCUGCCUGCCAUUCCUGCAGAUUGUCAUGCCAACACUGGGUUGGAGAUGGUUGCUUGCACUGUCUGCAUUGCCAUCAUUCAUUCUGCUUCUGUUUUUUAGUUUUGCACCAGAAUCACCAAGGUAUUUGUGUUUGAAUGGAAGAAAAACUGAAGCACUUGCUAUUUUGAAGAUAAUAGCAAAACUGAAUCGUGUGGAGCUGCCUUCUGGUGUGCUUGUUAGUGAGCAUAAACCUGAGCUUAAUGAAAAUGUUACACCAACGGAAGAUACUGAUAUAGUCUCCACUGACUCUAAUGAAAAUAAAGCUAAGGUUCCUAAGAAUAUGGAUUCUAAAACCAAAAGUGCUUCUUCUCUAUCUAUGCUCCUUUCGAAAAAUUUAAUCAGAUCAACCCUCCUCCUCUGGUUGGUAUUUUUCGGGAUACAAUUUUCGUAUUAUGGCCUUGUAUUGCUGACUACGGAGUUAACCAGUGGUAACAGCUCAUGUGGUGGCUCGCAUUCAGAGAAGUCCCAAAUUACAAAUCCCUACAGAGAUGUUUUCAUCGCUAGUUUUGCAGGUAAAGCUUACCUCAAUGUGCUUAAAUACAAUUUGUUCAAAUGUUCUGUUUAUGGAAACCAACUUUGUGCUCUGCAAUUGAUUUCAUUUUUUACAUAAAGAUGGUAUUUAACUAUAAAUUGCUUUCAGAAUUUCCUGGGAUUUUGUUAUCCGGAGUCAUUGUGGACAGAUUGGGUCGGAAGCUUUCGAUGUCAGCUCUGUUCUUCAUAUGUUGUUUUUUCCUCCCCCCGUUAAUGCAUCAUCGGUCUGAGACCAUAACAACAGCUCUUCUAUUUGGAGCUCGCAUAUGCAUUACAGGAACUUUUACAAUUGUGUUUAUUUACGCCCCAGAGGUUCGUCAUAUAAAAUUCACUGUCAUUCUUGAAAGGUCACUUUUACAUUAUUCUUAAACUACUGAAGCAUCUACAUAUUUUCAAAGGGACUGUCAUUCACUGUAAUCAACCUUUGCCCCUUUGAAAAUGCACAAUUUUCAUGUAUCUCAAACGGUGUCAUGUGGCAUACUCGAUCUGGCAACUUGGGUUGACAUUAAACUCUGUUGGUCGACUAUUAUAUGGAAAUGACCCUAGAACCACACUAGUAGCAGUUUAGCACAGUUAUGUAAGUCUCAAAUAUUUGUUUAUGGAUAUAGUGUAUGUUCGAGAGUAUGACCUGCUAGGCUGCUACAAAAAAAAUAGUAUGCUAUGUUGAGAAAAUAUUAUUGAUACCAUGCAUCUGCUUCCUUCUUGCAUAGUUGUCGUAAUAAAGUUAGCUUAAGGUGUGUCACCAAGGAUAUACCCAGAUUAAAAUACAUCUUAAAUGAGUGUACCAAACAUUUAAUUUCUAAAUGAUAUUUACUACUGCAGAUAUAUCCAACCUCAAUUAGGACGACUGGUGUUGGGAUUGCAAGUGCUAUGGGAAGAAUUGGGGGGAUGGUAUGCCCUCUGGUGGCAGUCGGAUUGGUACAUGGAUGUCAUCAAACUGCAGCUAUUCUUCUAUUUGAGCUUAUAAUAUUCUUUUCGGGCGUUGCUGUUCUAUUCUUCCCAUUUGAAACAAAAGGCCGUGUUCUGAGUGACAGUGUAUCUGAAAUAAAACAGAAUAAACCGGCAGUCUGAAAUUCAUAGAUGUAAUGGUGAGUGGGAAUAAUGGAUGGCAUGGUUCUGUUACCUCAACACCUUUAGCAUCCUUGGCUCAAGAAGCUGAUCGGGACAAUGGGACGGAUGGCAUUAGCUUAUGCAAUGGCACAAGUGUUGGCAGUGGCACUUGUAUUUAACUGAAAUGGAAAUGAUAAUACUAGUGCUAGUAAGUAGUAAGACUGGAAACAUAGAAUCGACACUUUUGUAAUGUUUGGUUUGUUUCAACAUUGGUAGGUAGGUAGAAUUCUGAAUGUUUCUCUACUUGAGCUUGAGGGGAUGAUGUUGUGUUUAAAGUUAUGGAUAGUAGUCUUGUUCAUCUCCAAGUAAUGUGAUGAUGUAAAUAUGUAAUUGUAUAUCCUCCAUUUUUAGGGUUUAGUUUUUAUUUGAUUAUCCUCUGUCAAGUGUCAAGUAAACAACUACAGCAACACUACCUGACAUAUGACCUGUUUAUAUGUCCACCAAACAACCUGAGUGAUCUCUGACUGAGAAAGUCUCAGCUCGUCCGUACGUGUACAAUGUAUACGUAACACCAUUAAUUGUACGACAAAAUUAAUUGAUUACAUUAUAUACACUCUUUCAUUUCAUAUAAAACCCAACAAAACUACGAUGGCUUGAUCUACAUAACGCUGAAGUGCAAUCACUUUUUUUUUUUUUUUGACCUUGCUCGACGCAAAUAGCAAGCUUGAUGAUUAUAGUUGAUGGUGUUGAUCCUAAAUCUGGUCAAGACAAUAUAUUCAAAGAAUGAUGAAAGCAAUGUUGAAAUUGAAUAGUUAUGUAAUUGUCCAUUUGUGUUUCAAAGUGUAUUUGCUUAUCCUCAAAAAACCUGUGUCCUUUGUUCCCUAAAUUCAUGCAUUACCUUAUCCAUCAUCAUUCAUCCAGUCAAACUUGAUAUUUGCACGCAUAAAUAUUUCCUACAUACACCCACACAAAAAAAAAGCCCCACUAUUUGAAUUGAAUAGAAAAUGGGGUGAGUUGAGUAUAACAAGGUGGGUGCAAAAAUUAAAGAAAAAAAAAAAAACAACCACCCCACCCCAACAUCAUUUUCUUCCCUCUCGAUUUAAUGUUAAGUUUUGGCUUUUGCCUUUGCGUGCUUGCUUGCUUAAGGUGAUGGGGUCAAUGGCGAUGGAUGGUCAACAACAUGAACAUGAACAGGUACAAAUAACAUUUUCUAAAUCUCAAAAUUCCAUUUUACAGAAGAAGAGAAACCAACCCAUGUUCUUCUUUCUAAUCUAUUAAUCAAUUAAUCUUUUUUUUUUUGGUGAGAAUCAAUCAAUUAAUCUUAAAGCUAAUAAUUAUAUACCAUUAUUGGCCAGGUUUUUUUUUUUUGUUUUGUGUAAUAUUUCUACGUCAAUUUAUAUGCUUUUUUUGACAUAUUAUAUGAUUUGUUUCUUCAAUGAUUUAAUUUUCAAUAACUUUUUUGUUUUAUUCUUUGUGAUAUUUUUUGCCAAAAUAUUAGAAGGGUACUUUUUAUUUAUUUAUUUCUAAUAUUGGGAGAGGAGAGGGGGGGGGGGGGGGAUGUAGGCAGUGAUGUUGUUGUUGUUGUUGUUGUUGUUGUUGUUGUUGUUGUUAUAGGCUUUGGAAGUGUAACAACAUAUGUUUCUCAUUUUGUUUUGUGUGUUCUGCAGAUGGAAGGAAGGAAUCCAAAGUUUACGGUGGAUGAAGCACUUGUGGCAAUGGGGUUUGGGAAAUUUCAAUACCUUGUGCUUGCUUAUGCUGGAAUGGGUUGGAUUGCAGAAGCAAUGGAGAUGAUGCUUCUAUCUUUUGUAGGACCUGCUGUUCAGGCUGAGUGGGGGCUUUCUUCUCAUCAAGAGAGC
rnacentral:lncRNA from 1 species